rnacentral:snRNA from 1 species
AAAAAAAGGAACGAUAGAAGAUUAGCAUGGCCCCUGUGCAAGAAUGACACGCAAAUUUGUGAAGUGUUUCAUAUU